rnacentral:lncRNA from 1 species
GCUCAAAGUUAGUCACCAAGACAAUGGAGAAAAUGUCUACAGGGCAUGUCAGAGACCUUUAUGGCAGUCCUUCUCCUCACAGGCUGGGAGGUUUUAGAGGAAAAAAUGGUUUCAUGAGGGAGGCUCAGGAUCCCUCUGCUAUGUGCAGUCUAGGGACCUGGUGCCCUGCAUCCCAGCCGCUCUAGCCAUGACUAAAAGGGGCCAAGGUACAGCUCAGGCCGUGGCUUCCAAGGGUGCUAGCCCCAAGCCUUUCCAACGAAAUCCUCAGAUCUACCGAAAUAUCCACUUGCAGAUUCCACAAAAAGAGUGUUUCAAACCUGCUCUAUGAAAGGGAAUGUUCAACUCUGUGACUUGAAUGCAAACAUCGCAAAGAAAUUUCGGGGAAUGCUGCCGUCUCCUUUUUAUAUGUAAUCCCGUUUCCAACGAAAUCCUCAAAUCUAUCCAAAUAUCCACAUGCAGAUUCCACAAAAAGAGUGUUUCAAACUUGCUCUAUGAAGGGGAAUAUUCAACUCUGUGUCUUGA